AUCCUGAAAAGGUCGGCAACGCUCAAAUCCCUGCUUGCGUCCUUGGCUGCUCAAUCACACAGCAACUGGUAAUUCAUCUCUCCCUCGGUUUUUCAGGUCAAUUGCUUCACUCCCUUCCCGUUUCCUUUCACAGUUCACAUAAAUCUCCAAUCUUUUUAUUUUUUCAGCAAAAACAAACUUCCAGGUAAAUUUGGAUCCUUUAGGGCUUUUACCUUCUUGGGCUUUUCUGAUCACUCUGAACUUUUGUUCUGGGUCUGUUUAAUUUGAUCGGUUUCUUUGAUUUCUGAGCUGAAUUGACAGAGAGUGGGGGUUGAUCGGUUCGAUUAGGUUUUGGGUGUCAACUAUUUGAUUCGAAAGUUUGGUUUUUCUGAGGAAUUUUUAGUGUGCCUCCUUUGUCACCGUUAUCUUCUCACCCCUGUUUCAGAUACAACCAGCUUCUAAUUCAUUGAUUACUUACCAGAAACUAUAAGAAGUUGUCCAUCUGCAAAAGAUAAUGAUGAUGAUGAUGAUUUAGGAGUUUGCUACUGUAAAUAUCUUAGAGAUGAUCGAUGAGUUUAAUUUCUCUAUACUAAGCAAUAUGGUUGAAGAAGUCAUAUUGUGCUUUUCUUGGAAUUGUUUAUUCGUUUAUUAUAUAAUGAAAUUGCUUCUGAUUUUCAUCAACUUCUUUAAGCCUUUUGUUUUGGUUCCUUUGAUUAUAAAUAUAACUAGCCUGAACAACUACACCUCGAACUUGACCAUUUAUGAAACUGAUGCUAUUGUUAAUAGCUGUUAAGUUAGUGCGGCUGUGGAAAAGUGCAAACUUGAAGAAUAUAGGAUGACAUUUUCUCUUUCUUGAUUCAAAGAAGUGAGCUUUCUGUCCAGACCAACCACUAAUGGUAAUGAGUUUCGACUUUCAAAUGCAAGCAUUCAAGAGUAUGUCCCAAGCUGGUAUGCAAAUUUGAUGGAGAAGUACAUGAGAAAGCCAGCAGGGAAUUGCUUGAGAAAUUAAAAGACAUUGGAGACGAGGACAUCCGCGCCUUCCAUUGACAACAGCAACAAUUUGGAACCUUUUAGACGUGGUAGUGGUGUUUGCUAUUUGGCCUAGAUUUUGCUAAGAUGUUUCAUAUGCUUACAAAGCUGGAAGUCUCAUAAUAAGUACUCCAUUAUUUUUACUUUUCUUCUUCUGUUUUACAAACACUUCCAUUACAGAACUAAAUAGAAAGCUUUGUUCAACACAA